rnacentral:tRNA from 1 species
GGCAAUGUAGCUCAGCUGGUUAGAGCAUCGCAUUCAUAAUGCGAGGGUCGCAGGUUCGAGUCCCGCUAUUGCCACCA